GCCUACGGGACGCAGCAGUGGGGAAUAUUGCACAAUGGGCGAAAGCCUGAUGCAGCAACGCCGCGUGAAGGAAGACGGUUUUCGGAUUGUAAACUUCUAUCACUAGGGAAGAAAGAAAUGACGGUACCUAAAUAAGAAGCCCCGGCUAACUGCGUGCCAGCAGCCGCGGUAAUACGUAGGGGGCAAGCGUUAUCCGGAAUUACUGGGUGUAAGGGGAGAGUAGGCGGCAAGGUAAGCGAUAUGUGAAAGCCUUAAGCUUAACUUAAGGAUUGCAUAACGAACUAUCUAGCUAGAGGACAGGAGAG
rnacentral:rRNA from 1 species